GUAAUAACAGACAUCCGGUCUCAAUCUCUGUGGGAGCAUUUGUAUUACUGGAAAGCACGCCGUUUAUUAUCAGCCAGUGCACAUACAGGCCAUUAAGAUGUACGCAGAUCUCAACAACAGGCUGAUCAACAGAAACUCCUCACUUGCUUCACUAGAGACCUUUCCGAUUUUCUCAAGAGAAACUUCAUACUUCUCUGAAAUCUGGAGGAGAGCGAAUGCAUUAGCAGGGCGAUUUUUGGGCGGAGGGCGGAGCUGUGUCACCACGGAGGAGCUCAGAGUAGAGCCGCUGCUCCUCUACAUAGAGAGAAGGGCUUGGGCAUCUGUUUUCGGAUGUCUCCUGGACACCCACCUAGGGAGGUGUUUCAGGCAUGUCCCACUGGGAUGAGGCCUAGGAGAAGACCCAGGACAUGCUGGAGGGACUAUGUCUUUUGGCUGGCCUGGGAACACCUCAGGACUUUACUCAACUACUUAAUAAAAUGUAGUUUCUGAAAAAAUCUACUUAAUUACAGUAAUUUAAGUACUUGUAAUUUGUAAUACCUCUGAUACUUUCCUUUAGCUGUGGCAGUCCUGUGGCAGCUUUAUCAGCUCUUUCUGAGCUGGACAUUUUUGUGAUUCUCAUCUCGGCCUCCUGCUAUGUUUUUAUGCUUAUGGCCUGUUGACAUUGAUCUCCUACGUAACGCACUGUCCCUAUUAAAUUAUCCUGCUUCUGACUCUAA
rnacentral:lncRNA from 1 species